rnacentral:rRNA from 1 species
AACGAACGCUGGCGGCAGGCCUAACACAUGCAAGUCGAGCGGACCCUUCGGUGUUAGCGGCGGACGGGUGAGUAACGCGUGGGAACUUGCCCUUUGCUUCGGAAUAGCCCUGGGAAACUGGGAGUAAUACCGGAUACGCCCUUUUGUGGAAAGAUUUAUCGGCGGAGGAUCGGCCCGCGUUGGAUUAGGUAGUUGGUGGGGUAAUGGCCUACCAAGCCGACGAUCCAUAGCUGGUUUGAGAGGAUGAUCAGCCACACUGGGACUGAGACACGGCCCAGACUCCUACGGGAGGCAGCAGUGGGGAAUCUUAGACAAUGGGGGAAACCCUGAUAGAGACAUGCCGCGUGAGCGAUGAAGGCCUUAGGGUUGUAAAGCUCUUUCACCGGGGAAGAUAAUGACGGUACCCGGAGAAGAAGCCCCGGCUAACUCCGUG